UAGGGAAUCUUCGGCAAUGGACGAAAGUCUGACCGAGCAGCGCCGCGUGAGUGAAGAAGGUUUUCGGAUCGUAAAACUCUGUUGUUAGAGAAGAACAAGGAUGAGAGUAGAAUGUUCAUCCCUUGACGGUAUCUAACCAGAAAGCCACGGCUAACUACGUGCCAGCAGCCGCGGUAAUACGUAGGUGGCAAGCGUUGUCCGGAUUUAUUGGGCGUAAAGCGAGCGCAGGCGGUUUCUUAAGUCUGAUGUGAAAGCCCCCGGCUCAACCGGGGAGGGUCAUUGGAAACUGGGAAACUUGAGUGCAGAAGAGGAGAGUGGAAUUCCAUGUGUAGCGGUGAAAUGCGUAGAUAUAUGGAGGAACACCAGUGGCGAAGGCGGCUCUCUGGUCUGUAACUGACGCUGAGGCUCGAAAGCGUGGGGAGCAAACAGG
rnacentral:rRNA from 1 species